rnacentral:rRNA from 1 species
GUGCCAGCAGCCGCGGUAAUACGAACCGUCCAAACGUUACUCGGAAUCACUGGGCUUAAAGGGUGCGUAGGCCGCGCGGAGGGUGGGAUGUGAAAUCCCCCGGCUCAACCGGGGAAUAGCGUCCCAAACCGCCGUGCUCGAGGGAGACAGAGGUGAGCGGAACUGAUGGUGGAGCGGUGAAAUGCGUUGAUAUCAUCAGGAACACCAGUGGCGAAAGCGGCUCACUGGGUCUUUCCUAACGCUGAGGCACGAAAGCUAGGGGAGCGAACGGGAUUAGAAACCCUAGUAGUCC